UUGGCCAAAAGAUUUUUUUUUCGAGUCAUCUAGGAAUGAGAAUACACAGGAUGCGAUCUCCUCUUACUAAGAGUGAUCGAUUCCAUAUCACCAUAUCUAGAACACCCCGUACAUGUCUUAAUGCCAUACCUGGUUAUGAACCAAAAUAUAGGUUCAUGUGCAUAAGAUUCUAUGGUGAUCUCAGGUCUAAGGAUCACUUACAUAACUUCCACUUAGAGAACCAUCUUUGACAUGUAAGUAAGGCUUCCAUAAGAUG
rnacentral:lncRNA from 1 species